CUGAUAGCAUCUGUUUAGAUAUCCUUUCUACAUUUUCAGCCAAGUUUCAUUUAUAUCAUGCAAUGCAACUAAAUCAUAAAGCAUUCAGAUGCCAUUUGAAAAUCUCUAACCAGUGCAGGGCCACUAGGCCAACUUCUAUCCAUUCAAAAUAUAAAUAUUUGGAUGAUGGCGAUAGGGAGCUACACUUGGUGAGCCUCAUCAAAUUAUAAACCCCCAAUUAUAUCCUCCUUUGUGGUCAUUGAGAGUGGAUCCUAUAUUUUUGGUCAGACCCACUUGAAUUGCUUCUAUGUAAAAGUGGAAAAGGGCAUAAACUCAUUCCAUAUCUACUACCAACACUGUUACUUCUUCUCUUGAAGCUCCAAAAAGACUUGGAAGAAUUUUUCUUAUCACACCCUUCAUCUUCAUCAUUCAAAUACUUUCUUUCUUCAAGCUUUUUACUAAUACUAGAAGAAGAACCAUUGGUACAUGUAGCAUAUGAAGGUGGCAAUGAAGGGUAUGAUUCUAAAUCAGCAUUUUUCUUCAAAGGAUCAUUCUUUCUCUUUUUGAUUUCUGUGGGAAGUAUCAUUCCAUCUGAGAAAAGUUCUUCUGCUGAACAUGACUCUAUCUCAAAGCUUUCACUAACACAAAACUCAAAUUCCAUGCUUGAUGAUCCAAAAUGGUGUUGCUCUAUAGGCAUGGAAUCAGGUUGAGAAAUAUGAUGUGAGAUAAAGAAGCAAAUUUAUUCAAACCUAACAAAGAUUGAAAUAAAGAAGCAUAAAAUGUCCUAAUAUAUAUGGCUACAAGUUGACUUUGGAAACCAAGAAAGUUGACUUUGUUGUUUGGUUAGGAAAAGAGAUAAUGAAGGGACAUGCAGAGAGUGUUAUUGUUGAGAGAGAUUAACAUAUUAGAUGGACCUAAAAGAUGGGUUGAGUG
rnacentral:lncRNA from 1 species